CAGCCGCCACGGGAAUACAGAGGGUGCGAGCGUUAAUCGGAUUUACUGGGCGUAAAGCGUGCGUAGGCGGCUUUUUAAGUCGGAUGUGAAAUCCCUGAGCUUAACUUAGGAAUUGCAUUCGAUACUGGGAAGCUAGAGUAUGGGAGAGGAUGGUAGAAUUCCAGGUGUAGCGGUGAAAUGUGUAGAGAUCUGGAGGAAUACCGAUGGCGAAGGCAGCCAUCUGGCCUAAUACUGACGCUGAGGUACGAAAGCAUGGGGAGCAAACAGGAUUAGAUACCCCUGUAGUCCCUGUCUCUUAUAC
rnacentral:rRNA from 1 species